GAUGAACGCUAGCGGCAGGCCUAACACAUGCAAGUCGAGGGGUAUCCCGCUUUCGGGCGGGAGAGACCGGCGCACGGGUGCGUAACGCGUAUGCAACCUACCCUGUACUGGGGGAUAGCCCGGAGAAAUUCGGAUUAACACCCCAUAGUACUAAUGAAUGGCAUCAUUUAUUAGUUAAAGGUUACGGUACAGGAUGGGCAUGCGUCCUAUUAGCUAGAUGGUAAGGUAACGGCUUACCAUGGCUACGAUAGGGAGGGGGCCUGAGAGGGUGGUCCCCCACACUGGUACUGAGACACGGACCAGACUCCUACGGGAGGCAGCAGUGGGGAAUAUUGGACAAUGGGCGGAAGCCUGAUCCAGCCAUGCCGCGUGUGUGAAGAAGGCCUUUUGGUUGUAAAGCACUUUAAGCGAGGAGGAGGCUACUUAGAUUAAUACUCUGGGAUAGUGGACGUUACUCGCAGAAUAAGCACCGGCUAACUCUGUGCCAGCAGCCGCAGUAA
rnacentral:rRNA from 1 species